AUGUAAUAUAAUGUCUACAGAGUUAAUGCACCAAAUCCCAUUUGAACUCCGCAGUUAAGCGUGCUUGGGAUAAAGUAGUACUGGAUGGGUGACCUCCCGAGAAGUCUUAGUGUUUUACAUG
rnacentral:rRNA from 1 species